rnacentral:rRNA from 1 species
AUUGAACGCUGGCGGCAGGCCUAACACAUGCAAGUCGAGCGGAUGAAGGGAGCUUGCUCCUGGAUUCAGCGUCGGACGGGUGAGUAAUGCCUAGGAAUCUGCUUGGUAGUGGGGGAUAACGUCCGGAAACGGGCGCUAAUACUGCAUACGUCCUGAGGGAGCAAGUGGGGGGUCUUCGGACCUCACGCUCUCUGAUGAGCCUAGGCCGGAUUAGCUAGUUGGUGGGGUAAAGGCCUACCAAGCCGACGAUCCGUAACUGGCCUGAGAGGAUGAUCAGUCACACUGGAACUGGGACACGGUCCAGACUCCUACAGGAGGCAGCAGUGGGGAAUAUUAGACAAUGGGCGAAAGCCUGAUCCAGCCAUGCCGCGUGUGUGAAGGAGGUCUUCGGAUUGUAAAGCACGUUAAGUUGGGGGGAAGGGCAGUAAGUUAAUACCUUGCUGUUUUGACGUUACCAACAGAAUAAGCACCGGCUAACUUCGUG